UAUGACGGACGCGUGUCUUCCCUUUCCCAGAAUGCAUUGCUUUUAACUUUAAAUUCACGUGCCCAGUGCUUCAGGAGGAAGUGGUCGCGUGUAUGUGUGAGAGAAUGAGAGCGUGUGAGAAAGAGUAUGUUUGGAUGUGAGUAUGUGUGAUUUUUUUUUAUUUUAUAUAAAAAUCUACACCGUGAUCUUAUUUGAUUGGAGCCAGAAAGCCUCACCAUGGCUCUGAGAUGAUAAAAGGCUGCCAAGCAAGCUGUUUUAGCAGCGUUGAGCGAACGGCGGCUGCUGUAAACGAGGCACAUCCACUUGUGGACCGGGCAUGAUGAAUUGAUCAGAUAUACUAGGCCGGUGAUGAACCCAGGGUGAUAUACUCCGGGGGAAUGGGCCGACCUGUGAGUAUAGAGGCGAUUCUGACCUGG
rnacentral:snoRNA from 1 species